GACGAACCGAGCAAACGUUAUUCGGAAUCACUGGGCUUAAAGGGCGCGUAGGCGGUGCGGUAAGUCUGCGGUGAAAUCUCCCGGCUCAACUGGGAGUCUGCCGUGGAAACUGCCGUGCUUGAGUGUGGGAGAGGUGAGUGGAAUUCCUGGUGUAGCGGUGAAAUGCGCAGAUAUCAGGAAGAACACCUAUGGCGAAGGCAGCUCUCUGGGACGGUACUGACGCUGAGACGCGAAAGCGUGGGGAGCGAACAGG
rnacentral:rRNA from 1 species